UUCAUUAGUAAUCUAUUGGUAUAUAUUAGAGAAUUAGCUCAGAGUUCUGCUCAUAUACCUUUUCUUCUCACUUAAAGAAAAAGCAUCUUUUCUUCUUUCACCUAGAACUGUAAUGGAUCAAUGAUGUAGCUUACAAGGAUUCACUACGGAUUCACUUGUCGAGUCAUUUCAAAAUUAUAACCUGAAGUGGAUUUGAAGGAUCUGUACACAUGGUCCCCAUGCUUAUACAUGAAAUGAAAGGGCAUCUGGAGCAAGGGGUAGAGACUGUUGCAAAUGUGCUGUAGCCAGGAGCUUUUGGAGACAACCAACUGAAACUUCUGCCAGACUGAUGCUCAAAACAAAGAUCAAACUGGCAGAGUGAUGAAGACAUUGGAAUGAGAUGUCAAAUUAGAGUACUGAAGCUAUCUCUUGCUUGCAUGUAUUUGAUUCAUCUGUUACAUUUACUUAAUAUAUAGCUUUAUUUGGUUUGCAUGGAUGACUCUCUGGUUGCUGAUUAUCAUAACUAUGAAGAAUCUCACACCUAAAUUUGCUAUGGAAUCUAUUGGUUGGUCUUCU